rnacentral:lncRNA from 1 species
UUUCGAGGUAGGAGUCGAGUACUGUAAGGUAUGGUGCUGGGUGCAGAUGCAGUGUGGCUCUGGAUAGCACCUUAUGGACAGUUGUGUCCCCAAGGAAGGAUGAGAAUAGCUACUGAAGUCCUAAACAGCAAGCCUAACUCAAGCCAUUGGCACACAGGCAUUAGACAGAAAGCUGGAAGUUGAAAUGGUGGAGUCCAACUUGCCUGGACCAGCUUAAUGGUUCUGCUCCUGGUAACGUUUUUAUCCAUGGAUGACUUGCUUGGGUAAGGACAUGAAGACAGUUCCUGUCAUACCUUUUAAAGGUAUGGAGAGUCGGCUUGACUACACUGUGUGGAGCAACUUUUAAAGAAGCAAAGGACUCAGAAUUCAUGAUUGAAGAAAUGCAGGCAGACCUGUUAUCCUAAACUAGGGUUUUUAACGACCACAACAAGCAAGCAUGCAGCUUACUGCUUGAAAGGGUCUUGCCUCACCCAAGCUGGAGUGCAGUGGCCUUUGAAGCUUACUACAGCCUCAAACUUCUGGGCUCAAGUGAUCCUCAGCCUCCCAGUGGUCUUUGUAGACUGCCUGAUGGAGUCUCAUGGCACAAGAAGAUUAAAACAAUGUCUCCAAUUUUAAUAAAUUUUUGCAAUCCA